UACGAAGGGGGCUAGCGUUGCUCGGAAUCACUGGGCGUAAAGCGCACGUAGGCGGACUCUUAAGUCGGUGGUGAAAUCCUGGAGCUCAACUCCAGAACUGCCUUCGAUACUGAGAGUCUCGAGUCCGAGAGAGGUGAGUGGAACUGCGAGUGUAGAGGUGAAAUUCGUAGAUAUUCGCAAGAACACCAGUGGCGAAGGCGGCUUGCCAGAACGCGCUCGACGGUGAGGGAUGAAAGCUGGGGGAGCAAACCG
rnacentral:rRNA from 1 species